GAGUUUGAUCAUGGCUCAGAUUGAACGCUGGCGGCAUGCCUUACACAUGCAAGUCGAACGGCAGCAUGAUCUAGCUUGCUAGAUUGAUGGCGAGUGGCGAACGGGUGAGUAAUACAUCGGAACGUGCCCUGUAGUGGGGGAUAACUAGUCGAAAGAUUAGCUAAUACCGCAUACGACCUGAGGGUGAAAGUGGGGGACCGCAAGGCCUCAUGCUAUAGGAGCGGCCGAUGUCUGAUUAGCUAGUUGGUGGGGUAAAGGGCCCACCAAGGCGACGAUCAGUAGCUGGUCUGAGAGGACGAUCAGCCACACUGGGACUGAGACACGGCCCAGACUCCUACGGGAGGGCAGCAGUGGGGAAUUUUGGACGAAUGGGCGAAAAGCCUGAUCCAGCAAUGCCGCGUGUGUGAAGAAGGCC
rnacentral:rRNA from 1 species